GCCAUUUGUAAUGCCAAUCGCUUGUGGCUUUUAGUGUUUAAGUUUCUUUCGGGAAUUUUACACUAAUAAGAUGGCAUUAAAUUCGACUUUUGACGGCUGGAAACAUUGGGAGAAACACGGACGCAGUGAAUACGUGAAGCUCAUCAGACAUGCUUUACGUGAUGAGGACAGUGCAAGGAAUGAAUCGCUCAAAGGGAACCUUUCCCGGCCAAUUUAUGAUUUAUUUUGGCAAUGCUUGAAGGGACGAAUACGCAGGGAUUCGGUUAUUUCCGCUUUGAAUGAUAUCUUGAGUCUGCACUGGGACCUUGCUUCUCACGUCCUUGAUGUGAUUAAUAUCAUCGACGCGGAAACGUCUCUGUUGUCGGACGGGCUCACAGACGAAAGACAGAUAUUUUGUCAGGUGGUGAAGGACAUUGAGAAAGUGAUUCCAGACAAACUUCUCAAGGAGAGACUCGAAAUUGACACCUUGCAAGAUGCCGGCACGGUGAAGAAUAAGAUUUUCUACACAAAGUUCAUUAAAAUUAAGACCAAACUAUAUUAUAAGCAGCGGCGAUUCAAUUUGUUCAGGGAAGAGUCUGAAGGUUAUGCGAAGCUUAUCACAGAAUUGAACCAAGAUUUCGGGGCGAGUUCAUCCGUGGCCAUUCUCGAUAUCAUAAAAUCUCUGAUAGGUUGCUUCAAUUUGGAUCCUAAUCGAGUUCUUGACAUUAUAUUGGAAUCUUUUGAAACGAGACCUGAAAGACACACAUUGUUCAUACCAUUGUUGCAGUCUUACAUGCGAAACGGAAACAUAAUCUGUGAAGUUCUGGGGUACAAAUUUCGUUAUUUCAGUGAAAGUACAACACCUGAAUCAUUGUAUAAAAUUACCGCGUUACUACUUAAGUACUCAGUCAUUGAUUUGGAUGAAAUUUACGCAUGGUUAAGCCCAUCAGAUAAGUCCAUAUGCCAAGACUGGGAGAAAGAGUUGAAUGAAGCAAAGGAGUUUGUGCGAAAGUUGAAUAUAAUUUUAACAAACAAAGAAAAGGAACCUGAACAAGAACCCGAAAAGGAGGACACAAUGGGAAAAUAUUUAAUGAAUCAGAAAUGGGGACUUUGUGAAGCACUUCUAAAAGUUGGUGAUUGGACGACGGCGCAGAAUUUGAUGAAAAAACUUCCAGAACAGUGCGCUGUUGUCAAUGAGCCCAUUGCAAAGGCGCUAGCCAAUUACAUUAACAUAAGCAUAGAUAGUCUGUAUCGCAAGAAAUGCUUUUUGCCUGGCAUACUCAAGAGUGUGCUGUGUUCCUCGGAGUUUAAUCUGGUGGAGGAACUUCAAGUUAAUGAUUUCAGUGAGCUUCGAGAAAAAGCCUUUCCAAUGAUUGCAGCGCUAGGACCAUCUUUACACUACGAUUCGAUUCUCCUUCAAAAGCUGAUUCGUAUCAUGCGGACCAUUCUCUCCGAUAUGAAUAUUGACCAUUUGAAUACGCCGCCGAACGGAACUACUGCGGAAAUAAUGUAUUUUGAUAUUUUAUCACUUUUAGACUCAUCAAUUUUGCCAGCUCUUUCAUAUUUGGACUGCAAUUGUUGUGUAGCAGAAGAAAUAUGGACAGUCGUUAAGUUUUAUCCUUAUCAAUUUAGAUAUAGUUUAUACAGUCGAUGGAAAAACGAAACUUAUUUGAGCCACCCGAUGUUAAUUCGCCGCCGCGGAAUAGUACAAAAAAAUAUAAAGUCGCUAAUGAAACGUGUCAGCAAAGAGAACGUCAAACCGGUUGGGCGGUUGAUAGGAAAAUUGAGUCACUCCGCUCCUGGAUUUUUAUUUGAUUAUAUUUUACUUCAAAUACAAAUUUACGAUAACCUCAUUACACCGGUGGUCGAUUCAUUAAAGUAUCUGACUUCUCUGUCCUAUGAUAUGCUCGGAUACUGCUUGAUCGAGUCGUUAGCUGUAGCUGAUAGGGAUAGGUUUAAGCACGACGGUACGUCACUGUCGAUGUGGCUGCAGAGUUUGGCGAACUUCUGUGGUGCCAUUUAUAAAAAAUAUAAUAUUGAGCUCAGUGGAUUGCUGCAGUAUGUCGCGAAUCAAUUGAAGUCUCAUAAAAGUUUGGAUCUAUUGAUCUUGAAAGAAGUUGUACAAAAAAUGACGGGAAUUGAAGCCGCCGAGGAAAUGACCAAUGAGCAGUUGAACGCAAUGUCGGGAGGAGAAUUGUUGCGCGGAGAAGCGGGUUACUUCAGUCAAGUUCGAAAUACAAAAAAGUCGUCGCAGAGGCUGAAAGAAGCUCUGGCAAGCAACGAUUUAGCAGUGGCUCUAUGUUUGCUCAUGGCGCAACAAAAACAUUGUGUUAUAUACCGUGAAACUGCUCAGAAUCACUUAAAGCUUGUUGGAAAGUUAUACGAUCAAUGUCAGGAUACUCUGGUCCAAUUCGGUACUUUCCUCGGUUCCACCUAUUCCGUUGAUGAAUAUGUCGAAAGGUUGCCAUCUAUUCAUUCGAUGCUCCAAGAGUAUCACAUUCAUUCGGAUGUAGCUUUCUUCCUAGCUCGGCCAAUGUUUUCACAUCAGAUAAAUCAAAAGUACGAUCAAUUACGAAAAUCGGAUCCCAACGCUAAGAAGCUAACGACGAACCAGAAAUUGCAGAAAUAUUUAGAAGCUACAGCAGCUGUGAUGGAUCCAAUUGUUGAAUCCGUUCGACCAUUACAUGUCCCUAAAGUUUGGGAAGAUAUUAGCCCGCAGUUCCUAGUGACGUUCUGGUCUCUGAGUAUGUACGAUUUGCAAGUUCCAACGGAUAGUUAUCAAAAGGAAAUUGCCAAGUUGAAACAGCUUUCGUUGUCAGUGUUGGAGUCAAAGGAUGUGAAUAUAUCGAAAGGUAAAAAGGAGCAAGAACGAUACAUGGCCUUAAUGGAAAAAUUGCAAGAUGAAAGGAAGAAACAUCAGGAACAUGUCGACAAGAUGUUGCAACGUCUCAAUCAGGAGAAAGACACAUGGUUUCUGUCAAGAUCAGCAAAAUCAGCUAAAAAUGAAACAAUUUCACAGUUCCUGCAGCUUUGCCUAUUUCCAAGAUGCACCUUUACCGCACUGGAUGCCAUCUAUUGCGCCAAGUUUGUUCACACAAUCCACAACUUAAAAGCAGCUAAUUUUUCAACCUUAUUGUGCUAUGAUCGGAUAUUUUGUGAUAUAACUUACUCCGUCACAUCGUGUACUGAAAACGAAGCCACUCGUUACGGCAGAUUCCUUUGUGCUAUGCUGGAAACUGUGAUGAAAUGGCACGCGGACCAAACAACCUUCAACAGGGAGUGUGCUAAUUACCCUGGUUUUGUGACUAAAUUCCGAGUAAGCAAUCAGUUUUCAGAGGCAAAUGAUCAUGUGGGAUAUGAAAACUAUCGUCACGUUUGCCAUAAGUGGCAUUACAAAAUCACAAAAGCAAUUCUGUUUUGUUUGGACUCUAAGGAUUACAUGCAGAUUCGGAAUGCGUUGAUAAUACUGAUGCGAAUAUUACCCCAUUUCCCGGUUCUUACAAAACUGGCGCAAAUAAUAGAGAGGAAGGUUGAGAAGGUUCGGGAGGAGGAAAAAAAUCACAGGCCAGAUUUGUUUGUGCUUGCUUCAAGCUAUAUUGGGCAGUUGAAGACCAAAUCACCACAGAUGAUCAAGGAAAGCGACUUCCACCAAGUUUCGGAGAAACCAAGCAAAGAUGCAGUCGACAACAAAUCAGUCACGAACGGAGAUGUUAAAACAGAAAAACGUGAGAAAGAUAAGACCGACCGAAAAGCAACGAAACUAACCAGCGCAGAGAAGGACAUUCGGAUAGAUAUCAAGGAAGAAGUUGUUGAGAAAGAAAAAUCGAGCAAAGAAAUUAAAAAGGAGGAACGAGCGAGAGAGAAAGAACGGGAACGAGAGGAUGAUGCCAGGAAAAAGGAGAAACGGAAGGAAUACCGUCUCGAAUCGCCAAGCUUGAAUGAAACCCCCCUUUUGGAUAAGCACUUCGUAUCUGAGUAUUACGACUAUGACAAAGAGCCCGAUCGUGACAGGGAUUUGAGUUCGGUUUCAAAUUCAAGUACAGGAUCUUUACAACGUCGUAAUCAGGAUAUUAUCGAAUAUGAGAAAGUUGACGUAAAGCGACGAAAGGUGGAUUCAAGCAGUUCCAAGAAAGUCGAAGAGUCCAGUGUUGAUGUCAAAAAGGAAAGAAGUUCCAAGACAAAAGAACGAAAGGAGAAACUUUCAGAUGAAGAGAAAGAUGCUCGAAAAGAACGAAAGCUAGGACGUAAAAGGGAGAGGAUGGAGGAAAAUCUUACGAAUGACCAUAAGAGGCGGAGAGAAGGCAGUGAUUGUAGGAUCAACGGCGAAAGUAUUAAUAGAAAUAUUGGAAAUCGUCAGAAUAGCGAAAAUUGAGUAAAAAAAAGUUCAGUUAAUCAAAAUGGGGAUGAUGAUUGUCGUGAUAAAUAUCACUUAAGGGAAAAGUCACCGCAUUCACGGGAAACUAAGGAGCGAUCACAUGAUAAGUUUGAACGUGAAAAGCAGUAUAACUUUACAAAAUCAUCAAGAUCG
rnacentral:misc_RNA from 1 species